rnacentral:lncRNA from 1 species
CCCUCCAGCCUCCUUCCUCCCCCGCCGGUGAGUUUUAUUUUUUUCUUUUUUGGAUUUUCUUUGUGGCAUUUUUCCUCUAAUACAAAAUGAUCUGCAUUUGUACGUGUGUUAGAUAAAAAGCUUUUUAAACGGUCGUCUAUUAAUACAUAUUUGCUGUGAAGUUCAAAUAUCAGAAUAAUAUAGUUGAAAGUGAAAUUCAGUAACCAUGUUGUAGAGCUACUGUUCAAUGGUUUAUUGAUGCUGAAAUAUUCCCUGUGCAUCCCAGUAGCUUCACAAUAUUUAUAUAAUCAGUCUAAUGGGCUUGUUUCUGUUGGUAUGCAGCUCAGCUAUUGGAUGUUAAUGGUGAAUCGAAGAUAGUGCUUAUUCCUAUUGUAGUUGCUGUAAAUCCGCUAUUGUGUUGUUUAUCCCAUUUUAAGUUCUGGAUUAUAUUGAUAGAAAAUCUGUGCUACAUUCAUCAUGACAAAACAUCAGGCAACACUACAUGCAAAUUAUGUCUCCCGUUAAUUUGAAUUGCGCACUGAUUAUCAGAGGUCGAGACUUCUCUGAUAGAUAAUGCUUAUAAAAUGUUCAUGCUCAUGUAGGUGACAUCGACCUCGACUACUUCGUCUACGGUGUAGCUUGGUGAGCAUCUCCCUCUAUCUCGCCUUCCCUUUUACUCUAUCCCGGCCAUCGAGCCGAUGACACUUGUAGUUUAAAUGUC